AUACCGUUCUAUGAGUUUUGGUGUUUUGCGAGAGCUCUCUGCAAGAUGAAUCCAAGAGCCAGCUUACCUAAGAAUCUUCAUCUUUCAUCACUUGAAGCAUACCUUUUUGACAUACAGCUAACCCCUGUAUAAAUGAAGUAACUUCUUGGGUGAUGAGAUUGAAGUAUUCCAGGCAACACUUGCUCUUAUAAGCAUGAGCUCCUCCAUGAGGACCACUCAGCUUCAACGAUCAACCAUAAGCAAAUAUCUGGCUUGGAGGAGAGCAUCCCCUAGCUAUCAGCAUGGUUAGAAGCAUGGGAGAAAGAGAAUAAAGUUGAAGAGCUGGAGCUAGAAAAGGGAGAAGCAAAAGAGACAGAAACGAGAUGGAAGAAGGCACGUACGGCAUCACCAUGAAACGGGGAGUUGACUAAGGUUACCUUAGAUGAUGAACCCACUGAGUAAGUGUUGUCCUCUAUCUAAGUUCUAUCGGUAGACUUUAAAUUGCGUACCCUAGCCAUAAGGUUAGAAUGGUAGUUAUCUCUUUAAAUGCAUUUGCAAUUUAUUUAGUAGUAUAAUUUUGUUUACACACUAAAAGAUAUAAAACAACAAAAAUAUUUACUGCAUUACUCAUGGCAUCACAAGCCCCAUGUGAAUACCCUAUGGUAUUUUCCAAAGGAACAUCCGCUGUGGUGGUAUAAAAUAAAAAUGAUAAAAAUAUAGCAUUCAUGUUUAAAUUCAUGUAUCAUAAAACAGAAAAUUCAAAAAGAAGAAAAAAAGAGUGAAAUCCUGUUUAAAUUAGACAACAUUAAAACCAGCUCAUAAAGGAGAUCAAUUACUUUUUGGCUGACCACUAACCCAUUAACAAAUUUGAGCCUCGAGUUUUGGUUCCUCUUUGUGGAGAGUAUUUAUGCAGGAAUAACAUCAUAGCAAGGAAAGAGUCUAUCAGUGACACCCACCAGGUCCGCUACUGGUUAGCUCACUCUAAGGGACAUCUACACCAAGUAUUGCAACCAUCCAGC
rnacentral:lncRNA from 1 species